rnacentral:rRNA from 1 species
UACGGAGGAUGCAAGCGUUAUCCGGAAUGAUUGGGCGUAAAGCGUCCGCAGGUGGCUGUGUAAGUCUGCUGUUAAAGAGUGAGGCUCAACCUCAUAAAGGCAGUGGAAACUACAUGGCUAGAGUGCGUUCGGGGCAGAGGGAAUUCCUGGUGUAGCGGUGAAAUGCGUAGAGAUCAGGAAGAACACCGGUGGCGAAAGCGGCGACCUGGGUCGACACUGACGCUGAGGCGCGAAAGCGUGGGGAGCAAACAGG